rnacentral:lncRNA from 13 species
UCUGGAUUAGUUUCCUGAGACUGCUGUAACAAAGUGACGGAAACCGGAUCGUUCAACCCAGCAGAAAUUGAUUGUCUCACAGUUUUGGAAGCUAGAAGUCCAAACUCAAGGUGUUGGCAAGGCCAAGCGUCUUCUAAAUCCUCUAGGGGUAGAUCAUUCAUUCUUGUCUUCAUUUAGCUUCUGGUAGUGAAAACAUCUUCAUAAAGUUGAUAAAAUUCAUUGCCAGGUGUUUUUUGACAGAAGUAUAAGUCUAGUUAUGGCUUGGCAUUAACUUUUAACCAGCCUGCCCUUUGGCUCACUUCCUUACAGUUUUUUCCCUUAAGUCAGGUAGACCAGGUCACAAGACACUAUCUUCCCUUAAUCAUUACCACAGAAAACGUCUUUUAUAUUGAGAAGCCUCAAGCUUUCCAUUUAAGAUGCUUCACAGAUUUCGCAUUCCGGCAAAACUACCAUUGCGAGCUAGUCUGGGAGCUCUCGCUGAGGAGCUGACUCAAGUGAAGAAUGCAGUUUCCGCAUCCGAUGGAGUCUUGCUCCUGUUGCCUAGGCUGGAGUGAAAUGGAGUGACCUCAGUUCAGUGUAACCUCUGCCUCCCAGGUUUAAGCAAUUCUCCUGCCUCAGCCUCCAAAGUAGAUGGAAUUAAAGAUGGGGUCUUGCUCUGUCACUCAACUGAAGCACCUUGACAUGAUCUUGGCUCACUGCAACCUCCACCUCCUAUGUUCAAGCAAUUCUCCUACAUCAUCCUCCUUAGCUAGGACUACAGACAUAGGCCACCACACCCAGCCAGCUUAUUUCUUUGUCCAUUUUUUCAUUGAGUUUUUUCUCAUAUUGUUAUCAGAUAAAUGAUUUGCAAAUACUCUUUGCCAAUCUAUAUACUUUUUUCUCAUUUUUGGUAAUCUCUUUUGAUGCACAAAGGAUUUUAAUUUUCUUGAAGCCCAAUUUACGCACUUUUUAAUUUUUAUUGUUUAUAUUUUUGGUGUCAUUUCAGGGAAUUCAUUGCCAAAUUAAAAUCAUGAAG